rnacentral:rRNA from 1 species
GUGGGGAAUCUUCCGCAAUGGACGAAAGUCUGACGGAGCAACGCCGCGUGAGUGAUGAAGGUCUUCGGAUUGUAAAGCUCUGUUAAUCGGGACGAAAGAGCCUAGUGUGAAUAAUGCUAGGAAGUGACGGUACCGGAAUAGAAAGCCACGGCUAACUACGUGCCAGCAGCCGCAGUAAUACGUAGGUGGCAAGCGUUGUCCGGAAUUAUUGGGCGUAAAGCGCGCGCAGGCGGAUCUGCCAGUCUGUCUUAAAAGUUCGGGGCUUAACCCCGUGAUGGGAUGGAAACUACAGAUCUAGAGUAUCGGAGAGGAAAGUGGAAUUCCUAGUGUAGCGGUGAAAUGCGUAGAUAUUAGGAAGAACACCAGUGGCGAAGGCGACUUUCUGGACGAAAACUGACGCUGAGGCGCGAAAGCCAGGGGAGCGAACGGGAUUAGAAACCCCAGUAGUCC